GGGCAUUCUCUGAAGCACACUCUCUUACUUCGAGGAAACACUCCUCCUCCUCGUAAAUCAAUUUCUUCCUCUAUUGCUUUCUCCAUCGUAUUUUUCUGAUUUUAGGUUAAAAGAAAAAUAAAAUGUCAAGCACUUUGGACAUGUCCCUUGAUGACAUCAUAAAAAAUAGCAAAAAAAUCCGGAUUCUGUAUUUCCCGGGGCCGUGGACGAGACCGCCCUUCCGGAACCGGUCCUGCUCGCCGCUUCCCCAUCCAUUGAUAGAUGAAUAAACUAUGUGCAGGGAUUUUAUUCCGAAGUGGGUGAACUGAAAAGGUAUUCAAUCCAUUACGAACGGAGCGGCAGAUCGAAGUUAUCUAACUCAUGCUUGGCAUACCCUACGUACUUCUGAUGGAUUCUUUGUGUCCUGCUGUAGUUCAGAAUACCUUUUUUCCUUAGGGAACGGCAGAAGUUGUCUUCAUACGACCAGCUGAAGCUGUGGCUGCUGUUACGAGGUUCAACAAGGUUCAGCUUGAUGGGAAACCUAUGAAGAUAGAGAUCGCGGGAACAAAUUUGCACCCCCUCAUGCUAAUGCCGCUUUUGGGAAUUCUAAUGGACUUUCUGGACGUGUACGAAGUAGAGGUGGUGCAUUGGGACAACUACAUGGCGGCGGCGGCGGACUUGGAAGGGGCCGUGGACGUGGAAGGGGCUGUGGUGAAAAGGUAUCUGCUGAAGAUCUUGAUGCAGAUUUAGAGAAGUAUCAUUCAGAAUCAAUGCAGAUAAAUUGAAGUCAUUUCCGGUGUCUUGGUGGUAGGUCCUACAUCUUUCGUGCAUUGCUUUUGUGUGCUUGUUCAUGCAGCAAUGGAACUAUCUUCUAUGUCUCAGCCAAGUUGUAUUAGUGAUUUCGUAAAUACUUGUUAGAGAAAAAUAUUAGAAUCUUUAUUGUGGAAGUCUGGGCUUUUAUUGUGUAUUGUUCUUUGAUGUGGGUUGAUGGGGAGCUAUCUCUAUGUAAUGCACUCUUGCUUUUUGUUUAGCUUCGUGAUUUUAUAGGUUGCGGUGGGAAGAACUAUUUUCUUUGACAGAAAAGUGUGUCUACAAAGGGCAGAGAAUCAAACUUUGUCACGAGCUGUGCCGUGCUGUGAUGUCUAUUGGUUCCCUCUUCAUCGUAAAAUCAGGGAGAUAUGGAGGUUCUCGAAUAAGCUGCAUCUAUUCUGUCCGGUGAAAUAUCAGUUCCCUGAUUGUUUCAUGACUGCUGAUGCAGCUCAUAAUAGUGACUGCAACUUGCAUCUCUGCUUCAUUCAACCUGAUGAUGUUGAAAACGUAGGUGGAUAUAGAGCUUGGAAUAUGGUUUGCAGCUGGAAUAUCUGUGGGUGCUGGUUAAACUACACUGACGAGUGAGAGCUUUGCACUGCCUUCUGCAUUCUUCGAAGGUCCUGCUUUUGCGUCAGAAUGCAGCUGGUUAACCCUCGAUAGUCAUUAGGCUUGCGCAAAUCAUCUUGGGCACGAGAGGGUAAAUCUAACACUUCUUGAAUUGCAAUUUGAAAGCUGCAAUUGCAUCCAGACCACUGCUCUUGCUAAGUUCACUAUAUUCCUAACCAACAAUUGUAUGUCAUUUCGUGGAGUUAGUUUGGUGCUGUUGAGAAAUAUAGCAGCAUUCCAAUUUUUUGGAGAGAAAAACAAACUUUUUUAAAAAACUUUAUUUGAAGACAA